rnacentral:misc_RNA from 1 species
AAUGCUUAAACCAAAUAUUAGAAAGUGUAUCCAAAAUUAAAUCUUUUUAAGAGUUAAAUUCGUACUUGAACAAUUUAUAACCCAUAGUCAUGAAUAUAGAUUCCAACACUGGACAAAAGAAUAUCAUAUUGAAACUAAGAUAGCAUGUCCAAAUUCAUUAAUUUUAAUGCUUUCCUAUCAAAAUUCAACCUUAGGGAUGGCCAUUUCAAAUACAUACAUGUACUUUAUAUUACAUCCACAUGCACAUCUGAUGCAUACAACUAUGCAUUUUGUACUUACACAUUCGUGUGCAUACUUAAUCUCUAACAUGCAGGCAUUGUAGGUGCAACUACAUGACCUGUUCAGAUGCAUUUUUAACUUAGAAUUUUUUAUGACUUUGAUUUGCUAGAUAUUUUCAAUUGAUGGGUAAAAUUUUAGGAAGCAAGAUUUGUGAAAGAAAGAUGGCAUUUCUUUGAGUAUCUCUCUUUUAGUGGAGAAUUUUAGUCUUGGCUUUUCAAGAAAUUGGAGCAUUGGUAGUAUUAGUGAAAGUUUUCACAUCAAUAGAAAAUUAUGUCCAGUGUGUAUAUCUUUGAAUAUAAAAGGUCAAGAAAUUUGGAAAGCCAUCUAUUGAGAUGUGGAUAACAGGAGAAACUGAUGUUGAAUUUGUGCUUUCAAAUUCAUCAUAAUCAACUUUGGAAAUGCAAUUAAAGUGCUUGAUGUUUUUGUGCCUAUGAUGCACUCCAUGGUCUCCAGUCUCUUAGCGUGUUAUUUAAUUCAGUUGCUUUAUUUCUGUGAUGUUUCUUCUCUAUUCUGCUGAUUCUUUGAAUUCUAUGGGAAAAAUUAAGCAUGCAAUUAGCAAUUAAGCAAAUAUUCUUUUCUGCAGGAUUUAAUGUGGAGACUGU